UUUAUUGCUUUGAUAAGGAGUAGUAAUAUUUAAUUCAAUUUAAGAGAUCUAUCGGUUGGUGUAAGAUAGAAUUGAUAAAAUAUGAACUUGCCUUUGAGCUUACCUGUGAUAAACAGGUACGGAUUUAAACCGUUAAAUUUUAAAGUGAAGCUUAAAGCUUAAUUAGAGUGGUACCGCGGAAAUUAUACCUUUCGUCUCUUAA
rnacentral:ncRNA from 1 species